CCUGUUUGUCCUUCACAAUCCUUUGCUGGUCUCCCCUUGUGAUCUGUAUCCCUAAGUGUCAGUGUCCCUGAGCCUCCAUCCCCGGCAUCUCUGCAUUUCUUACUUCUUGCCCUUUAGAUGAUAGAUCUGAAGAG